UGAUGGCUUCCAAGCAUGACAGCUGUGAAGAACCUCAUGAGAUCUUCCUCUCUUCUAGGUCUGCCCCCAGUAUCGCCUUCGGUGCAAGUCUUUGCUCCUACCAAGGAAGAAGUCAGAGGCCCGAACCCAUAUACUGCCGUGUGUCUCCUAACCGACUUUUACCCACCUGCUUUCGAACUGCAAUGGAAGGGGGAUGAUCAAGUGAUAACAUCUAGAAUAGAGACCACCAAAGCCAGCAAGCAAGGUGACCGUUAUGUUGCCAGCAGUUACAUGAGAUUGAGUGAAGCUGACUAUGAAAAAUAUGGUACGUUCACCUGUGAAGUGACACAUGAAGGGAAGCCCAUUGUGAAGACUGUGCGAAAAUCUGGGAGUUGUUAACUGUAUGAUUAGUUCCUUUCCUGCCAUCAGGAAUGAAAAAAGAGACCCAUCUGCUGGGGUCUCAAACUUUCUUUCCCAAAUUUAGUUUGAUCCAUAACACCUCUUUCUAUUCCAUGUAGUUACACCCUUUGUAUCCCCCUCCACACCUUCGCCCUUCAAAUCAAUCCCACCCUCCCCUUUGACCUGUUAUAUUCUACUGUCAGCAAUGAAUAAAGAUGGAUUUAUUUCA